rnacentral:lncRNA from 1 species
UAUAUUUUUUUUAAUCUGUAUUAAUUGGUUCCUCAGGACGGCCGCAGGAACUCCCUCAGGACGGCCGUCAGGAACUGCCGUCAGGAAAUGAUUCCUGUCAGCCAACGGACAGGAGAAAUGGACCUUUCCUGACUAUGGGCUCCUGUCGGUGAGUUCUUGACGGUUUCGGGGUGUUCCCUGACGGUUUUUGGCCGUCAGGAGUUUCCCGCUUCCUGGUAGUGCGCUGAUGCUGCUUCUCUAAUUAGUUUCAGGGACUCAGCGAAGUCAUCUAGAAGGUGAUGACAAUCUGGAAAUUGUGAGUCAUCCACUGCAAGCACAACCCUGAUGGUGUCGGCGUAGCUUUGCCAAUGGAUAGUAAGUGCCUGCACAUAUUUAACAAAGGGAAACAACAAAUGAUCAAACGUUACCAAUGUGUGCAUAUUUAACUACCAUUCUACUGGACUGUGUAGAAUUAGAAGUUCUUGUAUAUGCAUAUACUUCCUCCGCUCUUUUUCGAUCAUAAGGCAAUUUUUAAUUCUUGCGGUCAAGUACGUGAUGUCAAACUCUGAAUAUUAAUUCAUUUUCAGAUGUACAAAUUUAUAUAUAUGAUAAUAUAUAUCUGCACAAUGAUGAUCACUUUAUGGCAAGCAUUGAACUUGACUCCUAUAUUAUAACAUACGAAAAUGACAGCUCAUACAUUAUAAAAUUCCUAAAAUUUAGUUACAUAUAUACUACAUAAAGGAGCAUGGUCCGGUUUAAUUCAUACCGAUGUGUUCCCACAUACGCUAGGUGCAAUGUAGACAACCCGGUGCCCAUAAAACUCUACUUGCUCAACUGGACCAAUCAUGUUGGAGAACGCCACUGUGGUAUUAGAUACCAUACGAUGGAAGAUAGCACCUGAAACCUGCAACAAGCUACGUGUAAGGAAAAUUUUUGAAAUUUCACACAAGGAUUCAGUUGUUUGAUCGGUCAAUGAAUUUAUUUUUAAAUUAAAUUUUGCUACAAUUUGAUGAAAUUUGGGCAUCGAGCACCCAUGUAGAAGAUGGUGGGAAAACUGGGAGAUACAGUGAGGAAUCAGAAACAAUUUAUCGUGUAAUGAUACUAAAGGGGGUUACUGAUAGGUACUAAAUGUCAAUUCUCUAGUAGUGUCUGUAGCAAUCAGGAUAAAUUUUAGUAGUGUCUGUAUAUAGCAAUCAGGAAUAAUUUAUCGUAUGAUGACACUAUAUCUUCUUUUUCUAACAAAACACAUUAUCUUAUGUACACAUGCUCACGCACACGUUGCACACCAAUGCUCACCCACCCACCCUUUCAUGUUAUUAAUAAAGUCAGUUAGGAUGAGGUGAGGUGCUCUGGGUUGUUGAGUUGAGCAUCUCGUAUUGAUAUCCCAAUCAAACAUCUUUCUUGGCUUAAUUAAGAUUGCUUAAUUAAUAAG